UACGUAGGGGGCGAGCGUUGUCCGGAAUUAUUGGGCGUAAAGGGCGCGCAGGCGGUCUGUUAAGUCUGUGGUGAAAGACCGGGGCUCAACCCCGGAGUGUCCGCAGAGACUGGCAGACUGGAGUAUCGGAGAGGAGUGCGGAAUACCUGGUGUAGCGGUGGAAUGCGUAGAGAUCAGGUGGAACACCGAUGGCGAAGGCAGCACUCUGGCCGAGUUACUGACGCUGAGGUGCGAAAGCGUGGGGAGCAAACAGG
rnacentral:rRNA from 1 species